rnacentral:rRNA from 1 species
GACGAACGCUGGCGGCGUGCUUAACACAUGCAAGUCGAACGGUGAAAGAAGAGCUUGCUCUUCUGGAUCAGUGGCGAACGGGUGAGUAACACGUGAGUAACCUGCCCCAGACUCUGGAAUAAGCGCUGGAAACGGCGUCUAAUACCGGAUACGAGACAUAGCUGCAUGGCUACUGUCUGGAAAGUUUUUCGGUCUGGGAUGGACUCGCGGCCUAUCAGCUUGUUGGUGAGGUAACGGCUCACCAAGGCAACGAGGGGUAGCCGGCCUGAGAGGGCGACCGGCCACACUGGGACUGAGACACGGACCAGACUCCUACGGGAGGCAGCAGUGGGGAAUAUUGCACAAUGGGCGCAAGCCUGAUGCAGCGACGCCGCGUGAGGGAUGACGGCCUUCGGGUUGUAAACCUCUUUCAGCAGGGAAGAAGCGAAAGUGACGGUACCUGCAGAAGAAGCACCGGCUAACUACGUG